CCCGGGGGCCUCCCUAUCUUGGUAAAGUAACACGUGGGUAACCUACCUAUAAGACUGGGAUAACUUCGGGAAACCGGAGCUAAUACCGGAUAAUAUUUCGAACCGCAUGGUUCGAUAGUGAAAGAUGGUUUUGCUAUCACUUAUAGAUGGACCCGCGCCGUAUUAGCUAGUUGGUAAGGUAACGGCUUACCAAGGCGACGAUACGUAGCCGACCUGAGAGGGUGAUCGGCCACACUGGAACUGAGACACGGUCCAGACUCCUACGGGAGGCAGCAGUAGGGAAUCUUCCGCAAUGGGCGAAAGCCUGACGGAGCAACGCCGCGUGAGUGAUGAAGGUCUUCGGAUCGUAAAACUCUGUUAUUAGGGAAGAACAUACGUGUAAGUAACUGUGCACGUCUUGACGGUACCUAAUCAGAAAGCCACGGCUAACUACGUGCCAGCAGCCGCGGUAAUACGUAGGUGGCAAGCGUUAUCCGGAAUUAUUGGGCGUAAAGCGCGCGUAGGCGGUUUUUUAAGUCUGAUGUGAAAGCCCACGGCUCAACCGUGGAGGGUCAUUGGAAACUGGAAAACUUGAGUGCAGAAGAGGAAAGUGGAAUUCCAUGUGUAGCGGUGAAAUGCGCAGAGAUAUGGAGGAACACCAGUGGCGAAGGCGACUUUCUGGUCUGUAACUGACGCUGAUGUGCGAAAGCGUGGGGAUCAAACAGGAUUAGAUACCCUGGUAGUCCACGCCGUAAACGAUGAGUGCUAAGUGUUAGGGGGUUUCCGCCCCCUA
rnacentral:rRNA from 1 species